GUGGGGAAUCUUAGACAAUGGGGGAAACCCUGAUCUAGCCAUGCCGCGUGAGCGAUGAAGGCCUUAGGGUUGUAAAGCUCUUUCAGCUGGGAAGAUAAUGACGGUACCAGCAGAAGAAGCCCCGGCUAACUCCGUGCCAGCAGCCGCGGUAAUACGGAGGGGGCUAGCGUUGUUCGGAAUUACUGGGCGUAAAGCGCGCGUAGGCGGACCAGAAAGUUGGAGGUGAAAUCCCAGGGCUCAACCUUGGAACUGCCUUCAAAACUCCUGGUCUGGAGUUCGAGAGAGGUGAGUGGAAUUCCGAGUGUAGAGGUGAAAUUCGUAGAUAUUGGGAAGAACACCGGUGGCGAAGGCGACCACCUGGCUCGGUUCUGACGCUGAGGCGCGACAGCGUGGGGAGCAAACAGGAUUAGAUACCCGAGUAGUCC
rnacentral:rRNA from 1 species